rnacentral:rRNA from 1 species
UACGAAGGGUGCAAGCGUUACUCGGAAUUACUGGGCGUAAAGCGUGCGUAGGUGGUGCGUUAAGUCUGUCGUGAAAGCCCCGGGCUUAACCUGGGAAUGGCGGUUGAAACUACAGGACUAGAAUCUGGCAGAGGGGGGUGGAAUUCCACGUGUAGCAGUGAAAUGCGUAGAGAUGUGGAGGAACACCGAUGGCGAAGGCAGCCCCCUGGGCUGAGAUUGACGCUCAGGCACGAAAGCGUGGGGAGCAAACAGG